GUGCAAAUUAAAAUUUAUCAUAAAUUUAGAAAAGUGAAUUUUGCAUUCAUGCUGGAGCAUAAUCAUUUUGUAUUGUAUGUUCUGUUUUUAUUUUGAUUAGUUUGCUUCAAAGCUUCUUUGGAAAAAGGAAUUGAGAAAGAAAGAAAAAAAAAAGAAAAACCCCAUCCGAACCCCUCACCCCCUUUCCCCUCUCUCUUCGGCCGGGCACGGCCCAGUUCCCCUUCCCCGGCCC
rnacentral:lncRNA from 1 species